GAUGAAGACGCAGCGAAAUGCGAUACGUAAUGUGAAUUGCAGAAUUCAGUGAAUCAUCGAAUCUUUGAACGCAUAUUGCGCUCUCUGGUAUUCCGGAGAGCAUGCUUGUUUGAGUAUCAGUAAACACCUCAACUCCCUUUCUUCUUGAAAUGGAGCUGGACUUGAGUGAUCCCAACGCUUUAUUCAUAAAGUGGCGGGUUACUUGAAAUGCAGGUGCAGCUGGACUUUUCUCUGAGCUAUAAGCAUAUCUAUUUAGUCUGCCUCAAAACAGAUUAUUACCUUUGCUGCAGCUAACAUAAAGGAGAUUAGUUCUUGUGCUGACUGAUGCAGGAUUCACAAAGACCGCUUCGGCUGUCUUUGUAAACUCGAUCUCAAAUCAAGUAAGACUACCCGCUGAACUUAAGCAUAUCAAUAAGCGGAGGA
rnacentral:misc_RNA from 1 species